rnacentral:lncRNA from 7 species
AGGUUGCCCAGAGAGGUAUUAGAUGCUCCAUCCCUGGAGACAUUCAAGGCCAGGCUGGACCAGGCUCUGAACAGCCUGAUUUAGCUGUGGAUAUCCCUGUUUCUUGCAGGGGAGUUGUACUAGAUGACCUUUAAAGGUCCUUUCCAGCUUUAAGGAUUCUGUGAUUCUAUGAUUCUAUAGCUGUGAAGCAUGCAGCACUAGUGGCCCUAUGAAUUUAAGGCAAAGAAACUCUUACCUUCUGCGCUCUCCCUGUCUCAACCCAGGAGUGUGAAAUCCACCAAAAAUAUCUUCUUCUCACUCAGUCCUGGCCAUCUGGGUUUAUGUAUUAUUUGCUCUUUCCAAAGCAAGGCAGGUUCCUCUUUGCAGUAGCUACUUAGCAGCUGCGCGGUCUGAUCUACAGCCCCAUGGAUGCGUACAGGAGCCUUGCACAAACACAGAUCAGUGAAUUUCUAAGAAAUCCAUUGCUCCCAAAGUUUCAGUGGCUUUAUAAAGCAUUACCUUUUCAGUUCCAGAGGUAAAUGGCAGUAAAGGAACAGGCCAAGUGGUAUCACAUAAGCCAGACAUCACCAGAAGCCAAAGUAUCAGCUCCUAAAUCACAGGUAUUCCACAUCAUGUAGUGCACUGGGAGUUAAAGAGUUAAUGCUCCAGUUUGGGGCACCCCUCCAGAAGAGAAGAACUACAUACCCCAGAGGGCUUUGCGUUCAGAGAGGGGAUAUCAGCUUUCAUGGAUCACCUGGCCUACCUUUUUUCCAGCUCUCCUCCCUGCUGCUCAACCCAACUGCACAUCUCACCUCAGCGUUAUGGUGAGGCCUUCCCACCUUUUGGACACUCUCUCUCAUUAUAUUUGAUUUAUUAGAUUCAAUUCUAAUUAUAUUGUAUUAUAGUAUGUUAUCUUGCAUUCCGAUACCAUAGUUAGUAAAUUAGUUUGUUUCACCUCAGAUCGCUGCCGUUGUUUUUAAUUAUUUUGGGGUCCCCUGUUUCCCCUUUCCAGAGGCACGGAUUCAUGAAUCCCUCUGCCCUGCUGGUCACAGAACCCCAAACUAGCAAACAUCCACAUGUCUGAGAUGGGAGAAAUAACUUCCUCCAAACACCACUCAUUUAUUCCUCUCCAUUCAAGGCAUAGUGCGUUCUUAGCUGCAGAACUGCAUUAGUACAUAAGCAUGUCUGGAUUUUGAUCCCUGUUCUGUUGAACUCAGUUAGUUUCUACAGGUCUUCAAAGUUGCUCAAUACUUGUUAAAGCAGCCAAAUACUUGAAGGAAGUGCAAAUAAAAUAAAAGAAAAUAU